rnacentral:rRNA from 1 species
GGCGGACGGGUGAGUAACACGUGGGUAACCUACCCAUCAGAGGGGGAUAACACUUGGAAACAGGUGCUAAUACCGCAUAACAGUUUAUGCCGCAUGGCAUAAGAGUGAAAGGCGCUUUCGGGUGUCGCUGAUGGAUGGACCCGCGGUGCAUUAGCUAGUUGGUGAGGUAACGGCUCACCAAGGCCACGAUGCAUAGCCGACCUGAGAGGGUGAUCGGCCACACUGGGACUGAGACACGGCCCAGACUCCUACGGGAGGCAGCAGUAGGGAAUCUUCGGCAAUGGACGAAAGUCUGACCGAGCAACGCCGCGUGAGUGAAGAAGGUUUUCGGAUCGUAAAACUCUGUUGUUAGAGAAGAACAAGGACGUUAGUAACUGAACGUCCCCUGACGGUAUCUAACCAGAAAGCCACGGCUAACUACGUGCCAGCAGCCGCGGUAAUACGUAGGUGGCAAGCGUUGUCCGGAUUUAUUGGGCGUAAAGCGAGCGCAGGCGGUUUCUUAAGUCUGAUGUGAAAGCCCCCGGCUCAACCGGGGAGGGUCAUUGGAAACUGGGAGACUUGAGUGCAGAAGAGGAGAGUGGAAUUCCAUGU